rnacentral:pre_miRNA from 1 species
CUACUACUCCCUCCGUCCGAAAAUACUUGUCAUUGAAAUAGAUGUAUCUAGAUGUAUUUUAGUUCUAGACACAUCCAUUUUGAUGACAAGUAAAUCCGAAUGGAGGGAGUAUUAU